AGAGAACAACACACACGGUUUCUCCAGUCAUGACCCAGUAGAGCAGCAAGAACCAUAUCUGGCAGCAACACAGGUCUUUACCAGGAGGGUGGGGUAAGAAAGAGCAGAGACUAACUUGUGAGCAACAGAGGAAAUGUCCAAACACUUCACCCAGCUUUAGUGGGAGUGCCUGAAGUGUGCAGACUCUUGGUGGCUGGGGUAAGCUGAGACAUGUUUGUCCACACAGGCAAGACACCACAUGUGGACCACAAAAGCAAUUGCCAACCUUCUCACUGGUUUUCAAACUACCAGUUUAGCAAGUAUCAUCCAGUCUCUUAAGAUGUCUGUCCAUCUAGUUCAUGGAAAACUGGAAGCUAUCAGCAGCCACCAGAUGUGUUUAGGAUCUUGAGAUGAGAAGACUUUCCUGAAAAAUGCAACCGUACUCAUCUAUUAUAAAAUAUGGAGACAAAGGGAUACUGACACACAUAAACACAGAGGAGAAGGUGAUAAGAAGAUGAAGAAGAGAGAGAUGAGAAGAGGCUAGCCUUGAAGAAGGAAGUGUUGUGGCACCUUGUUGCCAGCCAAGGAAUGCUGGCACCCAUCCAAAGCUAGAAGAGGCAAGGAAUAUAUUCUUCCCUGGAGCCUCAGGAAGGAGCUUGGUCCUGCUGACACCUCAAUUUCUCUGCCUAGUGAUAAUGAUUUUUGACUUCUGACCUUCAAAAGUGUAAGAGAAUAAAUGUGUUGCUUUAAGCCAUGGAUUUUGUGAUAAUUUAUUAUAGGAAACUAGGAUACGUUGGAUAGAUUUAACAUUUUUAUUUUCUGGAAUUUGUGCACUGAGCAAAAAAAGAUUCCUAUACUUGAAAAUGUUUAAUAUUAACAUAGAAGUAAAAAAUGUGUUUUUAUUUUUUAUCCACAUGUACUUGUUACAUUUUGGGAGGUUACAACACUUGCAAUAUUGUUUUACUUCCUUGAAAUGAGUAUAUUUAUAACUUUAGAGUGGAGUCUUCGGAAUAUCAAAAUUAGACUGUCUGCAUGUACUUGACUGUCUCCCAAAUUUGGAUGGUUUAAAAUAUGUUCGUUAUAAUUGCUGUGGUUUGUGGAGGUAAAACUGUACAUGGUUAAAUAUUCACAGUUGUGGGAACAUUGAGGCUUACCAAAAUUAUGUGCUUGUUUAUUGGGUUAACUCUCAGCUCUCCGUUCUUCUCUUUUUAUAAAUUAAUAAUAUUCUAUAUGUACUGGUGUUGCUUCUGCAUCAGUUCCUAAUUAUCUUUUCUUCAAAUUACCAAAAUAUAUUGACAUUGCCACAAUAAAAUAAAAAUCCAAUCCU